rnacentral:rRNA from 1 species
UACAGAGGGUGCAAGCAUUAAUCGGAUUUAUUGGGCGUAAAGGGCGCGUAGGCGGAUGGAUUAGUCAGAUGUGAAAUCCCGGGGCUCAACCCCGGAACAGCAUUUGAAACUGGCGAUCUAGAGGGUAGGAGGAGAAAAUGGAAUUCCACGUGUAGCGGUGAAAUGCGUAGAUAUGUGGAAGAACACCGGUGGCGAAGGCGAUUUUCUAUCUUAUACCUGACGCUGAGGCGCGAAAGCAAGAGGAUCAAACAGG